rnacentral:misc_RNA from 1 species
GAGGAGCAGAAUUCCCACCUGCAGCAAAACAGAAAACUCAGAAGCGCAUCCAAGCCACAAAAAAAGCGCGCGCCGCUUGCAAGCGGCUUCUCCAUCGAAACGUUUUCAUCUGAUUUCCAUCUUUUUUUUUUUGUUAGGUGGCCACACACCAAAAUCGACAUGAGCUCGCUGUCUACCGCUGCUGCUGCAACUGCCACCGGCUCCAGCAGUCCCCCUGGAUCACCCAGCCGCCCUACGGCACCCGGCUCGCCGACCAAUUGUUCCCUCCUUACCCCCUCAGCGGUGCUGUCACCAAGCGCUUCAGCGCCUCUUACAUCGCAGACAGGCGCUCUUACCGUCGGUGCGACUUCAGGUACUGCCCAGCUCACUGAGGGUUCUCGAAAGCCCCUCUCAACCGACUCGACGGCGAACAGCGGCGCCAUCGACGCAGCCACGACGACGUCGUCGUAUACGAACGCGCUCACAACGGCAUGGGCACCGGAUAUGGGAUGGGUAGUGGGUACGGUAUGGGAUGGACCCAUACGGUAUGGGGGGUAUGUACGGCGGUUACGGUGGCUUCGGCAUGGGUGGCAUGUAUGGGGGCCUUGGAAUGAUGGCAUGGGUGGCAUGUACGGCAUGGGCAUGACCCCCGAGGCGCAGCGUGCACAGAUGAUGAUGUUCAUGACGAGCCGCAUUAUGGAGCUGUGGGGUAUGUUUUCGCAAGUCAUGCAGAUGACACUCGGCAGCGCCGUUCAUUUUUUUGGCGAGUAUGUCGGCAUCAAUCAGCGCAUGGGGCAGCUAGAGGAGGAGAACCUGAAUCAUGAGGAGCGCUACAUGAGCCGCAAGUACGAGCUGCGCAAGGCCCUCUCCAAUAUUCCGCGUGAGCAGCGGUAUGUGCCGAAGCGAUCACGGGUCCGCAAGCCGAAGCAACCCUCCUUUCUCCGCAGCUUCAUCCUUCGCCUGCUUCGCCACGUGGCCCUCUUCGCACUCGCCUACCUCCUUUCGAAGCGGAUCGCGUCCUGGGCAAUGGCCCGCUCCGGUAGGAAACUUUUGGAAACGUCUGCGUCCGAGGCACUGGUCUCUGCCGACGCCUCCAAUACGCGCUUUUGACAAGCAACUGCGGCACACAUCCGUCGAUGGACAGGAGGAGCAUGGGAGCUGAUGACCGGUGUUUCUCCGCUGCAGGGGAGUGGCCUCAACAGUUUUAUCACAAGGGCCUUGCUCUUUUUCUUUUGCAGGCUUGCUUUUUUUUUGCACUUGCGCACCUCCUCUCUCUUUCGUCACUCCGCUCUCCCCGGUUCUCUCCGCCUCUCGGUGGACCGUCGCAGCGCAAAGAAUGGAGGUGGGCUAGAUCCGUAGCGCUGGCAUCGGCGUGCGCGGCGCUGGCGGUGACACACAGUUUUGCUUGUUCUUUGCCAUCUGUACAUGCUGGGUCAUUGCCGCCCCCUUCUGCAUUUUUAAUCUCUCUGUUCUUUCACUGCUGUGUGUGCGGUCCUCUCCGAAGGCUGGGCUGCUGAACGCACCAGACGGCAACUGUAUUAAGACGCGUGGAAGGGACACACACACACACACACACACACACACACACACACAAAAGCCAAACGGAUAGGAGGGCGUCGUGACUGCUGGCGGCACAGCGAGCAGCGGCUCUCCGAAAGAUAGGGCGCUG